AAUAGAGCCAUAAGGUUCCAUUCACACACUCACAAACAUACAGACAAGAUUUUGAAUAAUUAAGGGAGGCUUUCAGACCACUCCAAGGCUCUUUGAAUGUUGGGGACCAAGUCUGAAGCCCCAUAACCUAAGUGCUGGACUUUGUGGUAUUUCUAUCUUCAUAGUGUUUGGUUCAUUUACAACCAUUGUGCAGUAAUGCAACAAUGGUUGAUUGAAGCAUCCUCUGGGUUCCUUUUUCCCAGAACCCAUAAAAAAUAUAUGUGUGAUAAUACCUAUAUAUAUAU
rnacentral:lncRNA from 1 species